GAUGAACGCUGGCGGCGUGCCUAAUACAUGCAAGUCGAGCGAACAGACGAGAGUGCUUGCACUCUCUGACGUUAGCGGCGGACGGGUGAGUAACACGUGGGUAACCUACCUAUAAGACUGGGAUAACUUCGGGAAACCGGAGCUAAUACCGGAUAAUAUUUAGCUUCGCAUGAAGCAAUAGUGAAAGACGGUUCUGCUGUCACUUAUAGAUGGACCCGCGGUGUAUUAGCUGGUUGGUGAGGUAACGGCUCACCAAGGCAACGAUACAUAGCCGACCUGAGAGGGUGAUCGGCCACACUGGGACUGAGACACGGCCCAGACUCCUACGGGAGGCAGCAGUAGGGAAUCUUCCGCAAUGGACGAAAGUCUGACGGAGCAAUGCCGCGUGAGUGAAGAAGGUUUUCGGAUCGUAAAACUCUGUUGUAAGGGAAGAACAAGUACGUUAGUAACUGAACGUACCUUGACGGUGCCUUACCAGAAAGCCACGGCUAACUACGUG
rnacentral:rRNA from 1 species